rnacentral:rRNA from 1 species
CCUACGGGAGGCAGCAGUGGGGAAUUUUGGACAAUGGGCGCAAGCCUGAUCCAGCAAUGCCGCGUGCAGGAUGAAGGCCUUCGGGUUGUAAACUGCUUUUGUACGGAACGAAACGGCCCUUUCUAAUACAAGGGGCUAAUGACGGUACCGUAAGAAUAAGCACCGGCUAACUACGUGCCAGCAGCCGCGGUAAUACGUAGGGUGCGAGCGUUAAUCGGAAUUACUGGGCGUAAAGCGUGCGCAGGCGGUUAUAUAAGACAGAUGUGAAAUCCCCGGGCUCAACCUGGGACCUGCAUUUGUGACUGUAUAGCUAGAGUACGGUAGAGGGGGAUGGAAUUCCGCGUGUAGCAGUGAAAUGCGUAGAUAUGCGGAGGAACACCGAUGGCGAAGGCAAUCCCCUGGACCUGUACUGACGCUCAUGCACGAAAGCGUGGGGAGCAAACAGGAUUAGAUACCCUGGUAGUCCACGCCCUAAACGAUGUCAACUGGUUNUUGGGUCUUCACUGACUCAGUAACGAAGCUAACGCGUGAAGUUGACCGCCGUCGGGAGGUACGGCCGCGACGGUUAGUAACGUACGAAAGGAAGUUAGUACGGCGUGAGACGUAGACCGACGGACGACGACGAGGGAGGUUAGGG